AAUGGUGAGCUUAGUUAAAAUCGUAGUAUUGUUGUAACCCCACUUGUAUACAUAUGAUAACAUGUGUUAAGCAUCCAUUAUAAUCUUGUUGUAACCCGACUUGUAUUCAUGUAUAUGAAAGUGGUAGUUAACUUUAGAAAUUUGCAUAACAUGUGUUAAAUAAAUUAAUGGACGGACCAAAGAUCAUUGCCUUUGAUUUGUUUGACUGCCAAAUAAUUAAUAGUGGGAGUUUGAAGUUUGCCUAACAGUUUGAAAAAUUAUAUUAAGGUUAUUGGAUUAAUGGUAAAAUCAGUUAAGAUUAUUAGAUUAGCUGUUUGAAAAAUGUAAAACAUAUUGUUAGUGUAUGAAUGUGAACUUCUAUAACGUGGUUAGGUAAUUUCAGAAGUUUGCCUAACAUGUGUUAAACGAGUAAUGGACAGACCAAAGAUCAUCUUGGUUACAAAUAGUUGGAAAUUGCCUAUCAAUGUGAACUGGUCUAACAUGUGUUAAAAUGGUUAUGAAAAAAAAUGUUGCCUUGUAUAGUUCUGGCUGUGGAAGUACAUUAAUUUUUGGGUAGUUAAACUUUGAAAGUUUGCCUAACAUGUGUUAAACAAGUAAUGGACAGACCAAAGAUCAUUCGGCUUGAUUUGUUGGUCUGCCAAAGAAUUAAUGGUCUGAUUACAGUACACUGCCUAACAUGUGUUAAUUGGCAGAGAAAAAAAAAACAUUGCGGCUGAUAAUUAUGGCAAAGGAAGGCAAAGAACCCGUGGUUAGUUAUGAUGAGGAUGUUGCGACACCAUGAAGAAAAGCUUCGUAGAGAUGGAGGACAAGGGGUAGUUAGGAUGUGGUAAGUGGUUAAAGUUGUGAUAACCUUUUGACCCUAUGUUUGUAGGCCACAUACUAAGGUCGUUUUCUUGUUCUUUUAUUAUUAGUAUUUUUUUUUUUUUUUUGGGAAUGGGUUGAUGUCACAGCUCCGUAGUCGAUCCAUUGUUUCAGUUAAAAAAAACCCCAGGUACAGGGCUAACAUGUGUUAAGAUCUGUUUUGAUGCUGUUGUAAAAUAUAAACCAAAACCACAAUUAUCCAUGCAUAUAAUAAUAAGAUAGGCCUGUUAAUACCUGUUGGGGAUAGGUAUAUUUGGAUUAUUGCAUUAAAAAAU
rnacentral:lncRNA from 1 species